GAUGAACGCUGGCGGCGUGCCUAAUACAUGCAAGUCGAGCGAAUGGAUUAAGAGCUUGCUCUUAUGAAGUUAGCGGCGGACGGGUGAGUAACACGUGGGUAACCUGCCCAUAAGACUGGGAUAACUCCGGGAAACCGGGGCAAUACCGGAUAACAUUUUGAACCGCAUGGUUCGAAAUUGAAAGGCGGCUUCGGCUGUCACUUAUGGAUGGACCCGCGUCGCAUUAGCUAGUAGGUGAGGUAACGGUUCACCAAGGCCACGAUGCGUAGCCGCACUGGGAGGGGGAUCGGCCACACUGGGACUGAGACACGGCCCAGACUCCUCCGGGAGGAAGCAGUAGGGAAUCUUCCGCAAUGGACGAAAGUCUGACGGAGCAACGCCGCGUGAGUGAUGAAGGCUUUCGGGUCGUAAAACUCUGUUGUUAGGGAAGAACAAGUGCUAGUUGACUAAGCUGGCACCUUGACGGUACCUAACCAGCAAGCCACGGCUAACUACGUGCCAGCAGCCGCAGUAA
rnacentral:rRNA from 1 species